CGGGGGGCUGCAGCAGUCGAGAAUCUUCGGCAAUGGACGAAAGUCUGACCGAGCGACGCCGCGUGCGGGAUGAAGGCCUUCGGGUUGUAAACCGCUGUCAGAGGGGAUGAAAUUUUGACAAAUCCUCAGAGGAAGGACGGGCUAAGUUCGUGCCAGCAGCCGCGGUAAGACGAACCGUCCAAACGUUAUUCGGAAUCACUGGGCUUAAAGGGUGCGUAGGCGGCUUGGUAGUUGGGUGUGAAAUCCCUCGGCUCAACCGAGGAACUGCGCUCAAAACUACCAAGCUUGAGGGAGUCAGAGGUGAGCGGAACUCAGGGUGGAGCGGUGAAAUGCGUUGAUAUCCUGGGGAACACCGGUUGCGAAAGCUGCUCACUAGGGCUCUACUGACGCUGAGGCACGAAAGCUAGGGGAGCCAACGGGAUUAGAUACCCGAGUAGUC
rnacentral:rRNA from 1 species